rnacentral:lncRNA from 1 species
GCUGCAUAGAAUCGCUCCGGAUACGCGAGGCCAGAGCUUACCCUCGCCAUUGCCGCCAUUUCACUUCUCUCUCACUGAAAUUUUUGUGCUUUCCUUCGGAUCACAAUUUCAGAUCCUAAUUAAUGAAUUGUAGAAGAAGGUGCCGCCAUUUCACUUCUCUCUCUCUCUCACCUCUGAAAUUUUAGUGCUUUUCUUCGGAUCACAAUUUCAGAUCCUGAUCAAUGAAUUGUAGAAGAAGGUGAAAUUGGAGUAAUGGUUCUAAUUUCUUUUUUCUUCUUUUUCCUUUUCUGGUUUACCAUUAUCACUUAUUAUCAGAAGAUUCAAGGGGUGAUAUGAAUUGAAAUCUGAGAGUGUCGUACUUUUUGGUUUGGGAAUUG